rnacentral:rRNA from 1 species
CCUACGGGUGGCAGCAGUGAGGAAUAUUGGUCAAUGGACGCGGGCCUGAACCAGCCAAGUAGCGUGAAGGAUGACUGCCCUACGGGUUGUAAACUGCUUUUAUAAAGGAAUAAAGUGAGGCACGUGUGCCUUUUUGUAUGUACUUUAUGAAUAAGGAGCGGCUAACUCCGUGCCAGCAGCCGCGGUAAUACGGAGGAUCCGAGCGUUAUCCGGAUUUAUUGGGUUUAAAGGGAGCGUAGAUGGGUUUUUAAGUCAGUUGUGAAAGUUUGCGGCUCAACCGUAGAAUUGCAGUUGAUACUGGCAGCCUUGAGUGCAGUUGAGGUAGGCGGAAUUCGUGGUGUAGCGGUGAAAUGCUUAGAUAUCACGAAGAACUCCGAUUGCGAAGGCAGCUUACUAAACUGCCACUGACAUUGAUGCUCGAAAGUGUGGGUAUCAAACAGGAUUAGAUACCCGGGUAGUC